CAUCAUUGCCCUGUUCUUUUAGGGGGAACAGUGGGGAAAAAGCAAGGACAGAGAGCAAAGCAGCACUCUGAUAUAAAAAUAAAUAAAUAGAAAUGCAGGUUUAGCCCAGCGUGGAGGAUGUUCUGGCAGCC